rfam:Heterocephalus glaber contig224665, whole genome shotgun sequence.
GGGGUUGUAGCUCAGUGGCAGAGUACUUAGCUAGCAUUUAUAAGGCCCUGGGUUCAAUCCCCAGCACCUUA